CCCUGUAGCUCAGUCAAAGGCCCACGGUGGAAGAACUUCGAGAAAGGAAGAUCCUCAUCCGCUUCAGUGACUAUGUGGAGGUGGCCGACGCUCAGGACUAUGACCGCAGGGCAGACAAGCCUUGGACCCGCCUCACCGCUGCUGACAAAGCUGCCAUCCGAAAGGAGCUUAAUGAAUUUAAAAGCACUGAAAUGGAAGUUCAUGAGUUGAGUAGACACUUAACAAGGUUUCACCGACCUUAACAGUCAAAUUCCUCUUGAGUGCUAUGCUGUCUUCACAACAUAAAUUUAUAAGAACCAUAAGUGCUGGUAUUUAUUCACUUCCCCAUUACGAUGUAAAUCUUCUGAACUGCCUUUUUUAAAAAGAAGAAGAAAAGAAAAGGAAACAAUCAGGAUUCCAUGUGCGAAAACGCGAAGGUGACUGCACAGCGAUUCAAGCUACUGGCCCCACUUCUGACACCAAGACGUGUCCUACCCCCAGCAGGGCCCUGACUGAAGAUUUUCCAGCACAGGUGGAGCGGUCCUCAUCCUCUCCGGUCAGGCCCCCAGGCACCAUGUUCGUUUGGCCUCCAGCGAACCUCUUCCUCACAAGUGUCUGCCACCUGAGUCCAAAGAAAGCUGAGGGGGGCGGGCUUGGCUUGGGGGCCCUCUGUAAAGUUGAUGGUCUAGUUGUCCUUCUAGACUUGGCCAAAUGUACUGGUUCCAGAUGUGGCUUCUGGCUUGGGGUCCCCUUGGGAGGGUGAUGCCGAGAGGGAGGGAGCACUUCUCCAUUGCCCGGGCCAUCCCUUCCCUCCAGGCACCACCCACACAGUGAACAAAAGGGAAGGGCUUGUUUCUGGGGGAGUCUGGUUGCCUCUUGGUCCUAGGAGUGUGUGUGUUCCAGGUGAAGAAGGCUGACCCCAUCCCACCCCCUCAGCCUGAGCUGAGCUGCCUUCCAGGAAGCUCAGUGUAGAAGGGAAAGCUGUCAUCCGCUUGGUUCAAAGUAAUCGGCCCAUCUGUGUGCAGAGAGCCGAAUGUCACGGGUGAUUCAUGCACACACACAGCCAUUGCUCAGGUACUUUUGUGAUAGUGUAAGUCUGAGCAGGAGGAAUCUGUCGAGAUCAGAAAGGCUGGGGUCAGAAACUCUGCUUGGCCAAUGUUCAUUUUCUCUGUGCGCCCCAGGGCCCGUGACUGUAUGGCUUGGGUGUCCAUGGUUGCAAGCAUGGAACCAAUGUGUGUAGGCCAGAAACCAUUCCUGCAAGACUGGCUUUCCAGCCCUGAGGGGCCAGUACUCCAGAACAAUUCCAUGGCCUUCUUUUCUCCUUUCUUUGCACGGAAGAGUUCCUAUGGAGGAUCCCCAGAAUUCAGCCCGUGCCCGAAUCGGGCCAACACCAGCCAUGCCUGCCCUGCUCCAAUUAAUCCAGAGAAAAUCCUUCCUCUCCCUCCUGAUGCUGGUGAGGGUGAUUGGAAGUGUGUGUCUAACUAUCUGAUGCAGUUGAUAAGGACACCGAGGGCGGGGUGUGCACUGAGGGAAGGACCUUACUAAACCCUAACAAGCAUCCCAGUGGGGCCCACUGCAGUGUUUUGGUUUUGUUUUUUCUUCUCUUCCUGAGAGAGCUCACAGGCCCUCGGGAGUGGCUCUGUCAUUAUCCCAAUCUCAUUCAGUGACAGUUUUCUCUCUACCACACAUACCCAGGAUUUAGAAAGGUACCCCUUGGCCUUCCCAAAAUGAGUUAACCUGUCCUCACCGUGAGCUGUGUGGGAGCAAGUUACUCUUGGGAUUCAGACUCAUCAGUGAGGCCAGUGGAUUUUCGGCAGGCAUGAACGGCUCCCACGGCCGGCACUAGCCCAGGAGCCAGAUGGCUGCUGGGGAGAGCUCAGGGCAGCUAUUUAGGCAGUGCCUCCAGCCACAGAUCUUCCUUGCCACCUGGAGCCAGCACGCCUCUGCCCAGCCAAGGAGGAUGCUGUCACUAGAUUCUUUUUUUUUUAAUUUGCCUAUCGAAUCUGAGAAUAGUUCCUGCCGCAGGGAGAGGUAUUGUUCAGGGAAAAUGUGGUCAGGAUUUUAGUGUGACUGUAAACACAGUCUUCCCGAAAGGCUUAUUGACAUUUGAAUGUGCAAAUGGUAUGACGAAAGAUGUAGGGCUCUUUCGUUGAACUUCUCUACGGCAGCCAGCAAGCGGGCACGUGUACCAGGCAGAGGUGCCCGCCAGGCCAGGCCUUGAGUCUGAGCUUCCUCUGACUACAGUGGGCUUCAAGGGCACAUGGUGUCCUGGCAUGAUGGUCAGGCCUUCCCCUGGCCAGGAACGAGUCCUAAGAAAACUCAUUCCAUUGAUAGGACUCCUCCCAUGCAGGCCCAUAGCUCUGCUGGCCUUUGUUCUCAGGCCCUUCAGAUUCCUGGGAACAUAAAGCCCAAAGGGAUCUCCCUGCAGCCAACCAGCAAGCAGGGCUUCUGCCCAAAGUGCUCUGGUGUUGCAGUCCACUCUGUGCAUGGAAGAAACUGCACACGAUUUCCGCCGCCCUUCCUGCAGAGCACCCCUUUCCAGAAGUCGCUUGCUCAGAGUGACGGGUGCACCUCCAACGCCACUGAAGGUUCCUGCACCUUCAGGGUGGGCUAUUUCAAGCCCAUUUUAAAUGGCUCUUACACAGGCUCAGCAACCUUCAUGGCCUACAGGCUGGGCCCUCUGCUGUCUCUUUCUUUUCUUGAAACCUUGAGGUCUUUCUAGAGAUCUACCCAAAUUACUUUUUUUUGCCACAGUGGCACGACAACUGAAGCAAUUUGUGUUACUUUCCAAGAUGACAAUUUGACAUUAAUUGGGGGGGGGAAGCGAGAUGACCUAAAAUGCAUCUCUUUUGAAAAAGCUGCAGUUUUCAAGUCAAAGUUUGUUUUAUGUGUAUAAAUUCCCGGUUGGGCAUUUUGUCAUUUGGAUUAGCUUGAGAGAAAGAAUGUGAAAUGUCUCAAAUUAAAUGUUUCCCUCUCAAAAUUAGACACUGCCCUGACCCCGCUCCCCAGCUCCCCAUCAGUGGCAGAAAAGACUGCAAUUGGCCUUCUUGCUUUUUCAAAAUUACUGAUAUAUCCAUCCUCACCGGCCCUUAAAGCCCUGUAAAACUUUUUAAACUUUAGCCUUUAUGUCAGAUUAGAGAAACCAAACAACGUGACGGUAAAUGUGAUGAAAAGCGCUGAGUUUAUUUUUCUCCUGCUUAUGAACAUGUAUUUAUAUUUGCCGAAUGAAAAUCGUGGUGUGUUGCUUCGAUGAGUGGAAUUUCAGGCUCUCCCUUCGUACAGCCAGUGGGCAAAGGUCACCUUAAAUGACUUUCUCUCCCCAUUUGUUUGUUAAUCCCCAGACUGGUUGCAUUUUCCAGUUGCUUCCGGGUGUCUGUAAAUAGUUUGUCUUUGUAUAGGAGUGAGUGUGGUGACUGUCAACAACCCCCUGAUCUCCUGGGUUCUAAUUUACCAGAUGAUGGCUGUAUGAGAAGACAAUGUAAAUAGAGAAUACAAAUUGAACUGGAUCUCUGUGGCCUAGGUUUUGUACAUACAGAAACUGCAUGGUAUUUAAAUUAUUGUUUGUCUCUGAUGAUGUAUGCAGUUUCUUUAAAAACAAACCAAAAAAAGUCUUAAAAAAAAA